rfam:Rattus norvegicus chromosome 1, whole genome shotgun sequence.
GGGGAUUUAGCUCAGUGGCAGAGCACUUGCCUAGCAAGCGCAAGGCCCUGGGUUCAGUCCCCA